UUUUGAUUAAUAAUUUAAAGUCUAAUCUGCCCCCUGAUAUAAUAUUAAAGGGCUGCAGUAUUUUGACUGUACAAAGGUAGCAUAAUCAUUAGUCUCUUAAUUGGUGACUUGUAUGAAAGAUUUGAUGAAAUAUAUACUGUCUCUAUUUAAUUAGUAAAAUUUAAUUUUUUAGUUAAAAAGCUAAAAUGUAUUUAAAAGACGAGAAGACCCUAUAGAGUUUUAUAUUUAAUUAAAUUAAAAUUUUUUAUAAGAUUUAAAAUUUUGAUGUAUUUAAAUAUUAUGUUGGGGUGACAAAAAAAUUUGAAUAACUUUUUUUAUAAAUUAACAUUUAUUAAUGGAUAUAUGAUCCGUAAUUUACGAUUAUAAGAAAAAAUUACCUUAGGGAUAACAGCGUAAUUUUUUUUUUUAGUUCAAAUAAGAAAUAAAGUUUGCGACCUCGAUGUUGGAUUAAGAUAAAAUUUAAAUGCAAAAGUUUAAAAUUUUUGAUCUG
rnacentral:rRNA from 1 species